rnacentral:sRNA from 1 species
AAUACAUGCUCACACAGAGCACUGGGCCACACAGCAUCAGCUGUUAAAGCUCUCCUAUAAAUAGCUCAACACUGUUUGUGGACCAUUAUAACAGCUGCUGCGACUUAAAAGCUUAAUAUACAACGCAUCAAGCACAGAGCUUUUUAUGACAGCUGAUUCUUAGAAGAUCUUAACAAGGAUUAUCUGGAUUAGUGCUUUUUAUUUUACACUUUUUUUUUUGAGCAUUUAAAAAAAAAUAAGAUUUUAGAGGAUUAUAUCAUGCUGUAGACUCUGGUAAAUUCUUUCUGCCCAAUAUCAGAAUGUACUCCUCACCUGCUGAAGCAUUCACUACAGUGCUGAACACAGAAACCUGCAAACCUUGGUAGAGAAGCCAAAGAAAAAAAAAAAACCUACCAAUAACUAAUCUCUUAAAAACCAAAAAAAAACUUCAUCACGCAAAAAAAAAAUCAAUGGACGGACGAAGCUUAAACCAGUAAAAGUGAUCAUCGGUUUAUUUUCACAAAUGGAGGAUAAAUUGGCAGAAAGUGAUUCAAUACCAAAACAAACCGCCUGAUCACUGCAGGAUCUCUAAUGGAAGGAAACAGCAUGGAGAUUCCUCUAAUGGAAGGAAAUUGAAAAAAAAAAUGCGGUGGUCAGUUAGUUUCAGUGUUUUAUGAAAAAGAAGAUUGAGAUAUUUUUUUCAUGGCUUUCUUGACUACUGGGAUUUAUGAACCGCAGGUGCCCCUUCCGGAAAUCAACAUCACAAACUCCAACAGCAGUCUCAACAUGACACAAGGAUAUCUAGUGUUUCAACCUCAAGUGCCCAUUGAUCCUGAGUCACUGCACCAAAAGACCCAAAGGGCAACUGUCAUAGCGUUUAUGGGAAUUUUCAUCUUCAUUACUCUCACUUUGACCACGGCAGUGAUUGUGUUCUGCAAGAAAAAGAAUUCGGUGUUUUUGCUUCAGAAGUCGGAUUUGCAUGCCGACUUGGAUUUAGAGCUAGAGGAAAUCCAGACUGACAUUUCCGAUGAUUUUGGGAGUUUUUCUUUGGAGAUAACCGAUGUAAAGCCAAGCCCGAGUGUGUCAAACCCUCAAGAUCUGGGACAAUACGAAGCACUAUUAUCCGAUACAAGUACUUUAAAACAAUCCAGAAGUUUACCACUAAAUUUAGAUUCUGGACAGAAGUCUAAAAACCUGCAGCAUUCCCAUACAAAGUCGGAGACUUGCCAUAAUCUCCAGAAGACCUCUUCCGACUUCCAGGCUUCAGUUCAAAGUGAUUCGGAUACAUUACAUCCGGAACAACUGGAACAGAGUGAAAUUUCACAGGAAUCUAGUGGGCUGCUAAGUGAACUGACAGACAGACAGACACUGCCUGCAGAACAGCUAUAUGUUUUCCCUGCGAAUAAAAAUUCCUCUCAGGAAGAACAAAAUUCCCCAUAAUUUCUAACUGCCUAUGUAUAUUAGUUACUGUGUGGUAAAUAUUGCAUAAAUUGAUAUGCUUUUACCUUAUAUUCCAAUUUUUCAAAAGGACCUCAUAUCAGAAUUAAAUUCUUGCAUAUACCAUGUAUAAUUUUUUUUUCUUUCUUAUAUGUUUACGAUCACCUCCCAAUUACAGAAAAUGUAUAUAAUUACCUUUUUUAACUUUUAAUUUUUGAAAAGGAGCAUGAGUUUCAAUGGCAUCAUAACAAUGGAAAAAUAUACAGAAAACAAUCUGGGGUUUUUUUUUUAAAGAAACGAGAAUUCAUAUGACAAUUAUAAUGUUGAUAAAAUAUUAAUAUACUUAAUAAACAAUCUGAAGG